CCUACGGGUGGCAGCAGUGAGGAAUAUUGGUCAAUGGCCGGAAGGCUGAACCAGCCAAGUCGCGUGAGGGAAUAAGGCCCUAUGGGUCGUAAACCUCUUUUGUCAGGGAGCAAAGGCGUCCACGUGUGGACGAGAGGAGAGUACCUGAAGAAAAAGCAUCGGCUAACUCCGUGCCAGCAGCCGCGGUAAUACGGAGGAUCCGAGCGUUAUCCGGAUUUAUUGGGUUUAAAGGGAGCGUAGGUGGAUUGUUAAGUCAGUUGUGAAAGUUUGCGGCUCAACCGUAAAAUUGCAGUUGAAACUGGCAGUCUUGAGUACAGUAGAGGUGGGCGGAAUUCGUGGUGUAGCGGUGAAAUGCUUAGAUAUCACGAAGAACUCCGAUUGCGAAGGCAGCUCACUGGACUGCAACUGACACUGAGGCUCGAAAGUGUGGGUAUCAAACAGGAUUAGAUACCCGAGUAGUC
rnacentral:rRNA from 1 species